GUGCUUUCUUCGACAGCACUUAUACUAAAAUUGGAACAAACAGAGAAGAUUAGCAUGGCCCCUGUGCAAAGAUGACAUGCAAAUUUGUAAAGCGUUCCAUAUUUUU
ensembl:snRNA U6 U6 spliceosomal RNA